CGGCGGCGCAGCAGAAGAGCGGGGGCGUGCGCGGAGCCGCCGAUUGGGAUCGGCGGAGCCCUCUAUCUCUCUUUCUAGCCGCCGCCGCCGCCGCUACUCCUAACUCCUCCACGUCAGCUGCAGCUUCUUCGUCGCGCAGCGGUGGGUGUGGGUGUAGUUCCCGGAGCCGGAGCUGCGGUUACCCUGCCGCUAUCCCUACAGCCGUCCCAAGCACCCCGUCCGCCUCCGCUCCCUCCGCACGCCCGACCACCAGCUGUACUAGGCGGUCUUCUUCUACCGCCCUGCGCGGGACGAGGAACGGCCGGGCGGACGAUGGCCGUUCUGACGUGAGCGAGAGCCGUAGAGGGUCCUCGACCCAUCGUUCCAGGGAAAGACAGGAUACCAUCCUAGUCUUCACAUGAGAAGUCUCCAGUUCUUUUGACUCCACGACUACCUUUUAAAAGCAUCUCGAUAUCCGAACGCAUAUUUUCUUUUGUUUCUUCAGAUACUUCCUCUCCAAUGUCUCGAAAGGGGUCUUCUUAGACUCUCAAGUUGACCACCUAUACCCUUUUCGUAAUCGGUACAUCAUUAACCGGACUUCUGACAUUUUCCCUGAUUCGUUGAUUUCAAUCUAGGAUGUUAAAUACUACGAAAUUAGUUCCUUUUCCACCGUCAACCACUACAAUAUAUGUAGCUUCGAUUGUCGCCACGUCACUUUUCUCAACCGUCUACACUACGAAAACGAUGUCUUAUGCUAGAACUUCGUCUCCUCAUACACGGUUAAGGGUUUCCCCUUCAGGUGUUCUUUUUUCUUUAUCACGUCCUGCAAUGUGACGUACUGGAACUGCGGCGUUUACGGGUCGGCGUUCCUCCGGUUCUAUAAAACAGGGAAUACCCGGUCUACUACUUCAGUGCCUUCUGACUUUAGUGACUCUUCGACGCGGUUCUCUAGUUAUUCCACCAAUUGUCUAUAUAUCUGCUUCCAUAACGUCUCGAACAUGGACCACACGACAAGUAACUACUCCAAGUGUACGACCUGUAACUCACGAAGAGAAUAGAAUUAGCACGAGAGCUCUCGGGUAAUAGCGGUUAACAUUAUGAGCGAUGUUUGUCUCCUUAUACAUGGCAUUCCCCUUGACUGUACUGUUCAGGGGUACCAUAGGGUCAACUGGAGGAUCUAUCCAACCAAUAGCAUGCCUGUGUCUAUAUACCGGGAUAGCUCUACUAGGUCUAUAAUCGAUAAUCUCGUGUUCACCUCCUCUAACUUUAACUACUUCUGUCAGAACGUAAAGAUCCUCUCCAACCCGUCGUCUGUAGAAACUCUGUACGAUAAGUCAACGACAGUGGACGGUCGCAUCAACGGUUCCGAUUACCCUCUCUCUUCUAGACGUUCCGACUAGAGCUUCUUCAAGCACAAGACAUAAACCUGCGUUUCAGGAGACGAGUCAACGAAGUAGUAGUCGUCCCUUCAAUGUAGUGGAUUUAAUGGGAACGUGUUCUUAAGAGUCGACAGCCGAGUCCACUGACCUGACAGAAGGGGAUGGAACUGAACCGUUCGUCCGCGACUGAAGUUCUCGUGUCAGCCCCCGUAACAAAAACAUCGUCCACGUGAGACCUGACCUGAAGGUAACCAACUUCUCCUGUUAAACUAAGACCAGAUACCGAAGACAAACGACUAAUCCAAAUCUAAUACACAUCCCUAAUAGCACGUAGAAGCAACGGGAACGAUUAAUUACCAAUCUAGAGCAAAGGGGGGAGGCUGAUAGUCAGUCGGAACCUACAUAGUCCAGCACUAAGGAAGGAAAUACCAUCUUGACCUUAAAGAACCUAAUACAGAGCGCAAUUCUGGCUGCGUUGAACAACUCGUAAACAGUAACGUGGAACGGAACGAGUGAACUCGACUCAUUGCAUAACACAACACGACAUUCAAACGGAACACAUUGAAUAAUGUAGACUAACUAUUACUCCGACUAACCAAACGUCGGUUAAAAACCGUUCGG
rnacentral:rRNA from 1 species